AAAAAAAAAAGCAUGGUGUCCUGGCCUGUGUGUCACACUCAGCAUUUGGCAUUUGACUUCUUCACACUCUUAAAAGCUAUUGAGGCAGUUCCAAGAUGGCUGAAUAGGAACAGCUCCAGUCUACAGUUCCCAGCAUGAGCGACACAGAAGAUGGGUGAUUUCUGCAUUUCCAACUGAGGGGCUUGAAUGGCAAAGAUGAAACCAAGAAUGCAAAUAUCUUAUCCAGAAAAAAUAUAUGGCAUGAGGCCUACUUGUCUGCACUAAGUGUCUCAAGGGGCAUGGCUUAGUCAAACCACAACUCCAUGGAACUUAAUGAAGCAGAGCACUUUAGUGAAAAGAGAAAAGAAGAAAGAAAA
ensembl:lncRNA novel transcript